ensembl:lncRNA
CUGUCACAUUGCCCUCCUCACUGUUUUCAUACACACUACACAGGGUUCUACACCCCAGCUUUUCCACUGGCCUUACCUCUGUCUAGGAUACUUUUGAUAGGCAUAUCUCCUCUAGGCUGUUGCUCAAAUGUCACAAUCUUAGAACUUCCCUGACUACUCUUUCUAAAUAUCACCCCCUCUCUCUAUUUCAGUAUCCCGAUUUAAUUUUAAUCACGGCACUUACAAACACCUGAUACAUUACUUGUAUUUGGGGACCACAUGAUCCCAACAGAAUGUAAGCUCCAUGAGGAAAAGGUUGAUUUUCUCUGUCCUAACACACACAGUUGUGCUUGACACAUACUUUGGAGAGAAUGAAUGAAUGAUGGAAUGAACAAACAAAUUUAAAUUUGUUGAGAGAGGCAUAGCUAGACAGGCUGAGGAUUCUGCUAUGAAACAUAUUCAGGGAUGACAAGAUGGUGACAAAGCCAUGGUCUUUAUCUCACCUACGUGGUGGUGUCCUUGGGUUCCCUCGGCGUUGACCCCUUUCCUAACAGAAUGGAAGGUCCUGUUGUCUCUUCCACAUAUUACUCGCAGUGAGCGAAAGAGGGCUUUACCACACCAGGCCUGCAGAUUCCAGUCUGAAGCUUUAUCUAUCCUGCCCCUUGGGGGACUGCAGCUGGCUUUCCCCCAUGAGACCUAUUUUGUAUUGAACAGGAAAGCACAAACAAUCACAAUGCCCAGCAAAGAUAAAGUGUUUUCCAUGCUCUGUUACGACAGUGAUCCCCAUAGAGACGUUAUCUUCAGUUUACGGAGACUUUUUUCUGAGUCCCAAAUUGCAGGAAUCUGUGGGGUUUUCCCCCUAACCUUGCCCUUCCGGCCUUUGUGGAUCCUCCUGGAAUGGUCCACGGGCAUCUAUAUCUGCUGUUCCCCAAUCCCACCAGCAAGGGGCGCGCGAGAUGAAACAGUUCUGUCCUGGGAUGUACCACCGAGGGUAGCGGAAAGACCACCCACUCUGGAAGGUACCAUUGGGAGAGGGCGUGUGACAACAGAGAGGGUCCCCUUACACCGCGUCGGGCAUGGACCACAGUUCCCAGCAGCGGCACUCAUGGCGCCACUAGGUCCAUCCCCACUCGCUCCUCUUCGUCUUCCCACUGCUUUUGAAUCCGAGUGGACACAGGACCAGCAGCCCAGUGUUGAGCAACCUCAACAAGAGGAACCACCAGCUGGGAUUCAGGAUAUCAUACCUGGGAAGGAGGAAGUAAAUGGAGAGGAUCCACUGAAUCAUAAUGAAGAGAAGGAAAAGGAUGCCUCUGGAGGUAAAGUGUAUGUGUGCAUCAUGUCUUAAGACAUAACCAGUAAGAGGAGGAAAGGAAACAUUAGAAAAGGACUUCAGACAGUUCCUAAAAAACUGAGCAGAGUAUAGUUUGCAGGUCAGUGUGGUCGCUCAAAUUUUCCUUUGUUUUCAAGACAAAGAGAGGGGGCAACUAAGUUGUCUGAGGACAACCCUGGGAAAAGAAAAUGGUAAUAACAUUCGGAAAAUUCUGCUUUCCUUUUUCUCCAGCAAAAUGUUCCUGGAAUAAUGCUCCUGAGGUUCUUAUUCAUCACAUUUUUACCAUAAUAGCCUAAGACUUUUAAGUCAUAAUGCUGAGGGAAUCAAUAUCAUCAUUCCCUACUGUAUGCUUUACAGCUGAAUUGAUACAUUUUUUUUAAAGAUUCUGACCUGGAAACUGAUCUCCAGGAAUUGGCUGAGGCAAAGACUGGGGGUAAAGGUGGAGAUGGUCAUGAUGUCAGGGAGGAGUUUGCAUCAAAUACAGAGCCUGUUGAAAUGCCAGAAGCAGGUAUGUCAUCCAUUCAGAAAGUAAUUUAUGUGGUUUCUGUUUUUCAGAAUAUUAUAUCUUUAACAAUAUAGAGGGAACAUUACUAUUAUUUUUAUAACAGAGUUCACAUAUUCUUUGAAAGAUAGUUCAGACCCCAGAUGCCUGAGUGCCUGACUUACAGACUUUCAAAUAAAGAAGCAGACAGGAUCA